CUGGAUUCUUGCAUUGCUAAUAAUAGUUAAGUCAUUUAUAAUAUCAUUAUAGUUUAUAGAUUUAACAGUAUACAACAUUCUCCUGGUUCUGCUGACUUCACUUUGCAUCACUUCAUAUAAGUCUUUCUGGGAUUUUUUGUUAUCAUCUUGUUUUCCAUUCCUAAUGGCACAAUAAUAUUCCAUUACAAUCAUUUAUAUGCAACUUGUCCAUCUGUUCUCCAACUAUUGGCCAUCUCUUCAGUUUCCAAUCCUUAGCCACCACAAAAAGAGCUAUUACAAUUAUUUUAAUAAGUAGUUCCCACCCCCCAUCUUUGAUCUCUUUGGGAUAUAGACCUAGUAGUGGUAAUUCAAGGUCAAAGGGUACACACAGUUUUAAUGGUCCUUUUGGCAUGAUUCCAAAUUAAUCUCCAGAAUGAUUAGAGAAGGAAAGGUUUCUAAGUAUGGAUGAUGAUCUGUACAGAAGAAGAGAUGGGAAAUGGGAAGCCAUAUAUGAAGAUCAGCAAGAUGAAUUUCUUUGGAAUAUAGAGUGUCCAACAUGGAAUAAUGGGUAAUUAGUCUAGAAUGUUAGACAUGUGUCUGAUUCUAAAGGGCUUUCACUGCCAAACAGAAGAGAUUGGAUUUUUCCUUAGAGGCAAGAAAAAAACUGAUGACUCUUAAGUAAGUGUAUAGAUGGUCAGAGCUGCACUUUAGAACAAUUGCUUUGAACACUCAUGGCAGCUUUGUGAGGAUGGAUUGAUAAGGAGUGAGUCUUGAGCCAAAGAAGUCACUGAGUGCUUCUCAAGAGAUGACAAAUCAGGCUCUUUAUUUUGAGGCAAGGGAUGGAUACCACUGAUUUUUAAAUGCUUCCAGAUGUGACUGUUGUCAUUGCUACUUCCUACAGUCUAUAAUUAAGGGAAUAAGAAUAAAAAUUGAAGAUCUGGAUCAAAAACAAGCACCUGGGAAUAAGAAACUCAGCCUACAUUCUGCCUAAAUCUUCCCAAGACUUUGUGGAGCCAAUGAAUAUUGACUCUUAACACUCACCUUGACCAUUCCUAGUCAGAUUGACAGAAGUUUGGGGUGCCUAUCCCACACUGACUGCCAUCAGGGUGGGAUGGAAUGGUGUCCUGCUACCUAUUUUCUGUAUUGGUCGAAGGCAAAAUAAGUAAAUAAAUAUUUAUCUCUCUGA